rnacentral:rRNA from 1 species
CCUACGGGUGGCUGCAGUGGGGAAUAUUGGACAAUGGGGGCAACCCUGAUCCAGCCAUGCCGCGUGUGUGAAGAAGGCCCUCGGGUUGUAAAGCACUUUCAGUGAGGAAGAACGCCUGGUGGUUAAUACCCAUCAGGAAAGACAUCACUCACAGAAGAAGCACCGGCUAACUCCGUGCCAGCAGCCGCAGUAAUACGGAGGGUGCGAGCGUUAAUCGGAAUUACUGGGCGUAAAGCGCGCGUAGGUGGCUUGAUAAGCCGGUUGUGAAAGCCCCGGGCUCAACCUGGGAACGGCAUCCGGAACUGUCAAGCUAGAGUGCAGGAGAGGAAGGUAGAAUUCCCGGUGUAGCGGUGAAAUGCGUAGAGAUCGGGAGGAAUACCAGUGGCGAAGGCGGCCUUCUGGACUGACACUGACACUGAGGUGCGAAAGCGUGGGUAGCAAACAGGAUUAGAUACCCGUGUAGUC